CAUAAUGUUUAGACUAGCUUUUCCCUUGUGUCAGUAAUCACUUUCAGUUUAUCAUUGUUCACUUUAAAAAGAUUUAUAGUUGUGUGCA